rnacentral:rRNA from 1 species
CCUACGGGAUGCAGCAGUGGGGAAUAUUGCACAAUGGGGGAAACCCUGAUGCAGCGACGCCGCGUGAGCGAUGAAGUAUUUCGGUAUGUUAAGCUCUAUCAGCAGGGAAGAAGAUGACGGUACCUGACUAAGAAGCUCCGGCUAACUACGUGCCAGCAGCCGCGGUAAUACGUAGGGGGCAAGCGUUCUCCGGAUUUACUGGGUGUAAAGGGAGCGUAGACGGCGGUGCAAGUCAGAUGUGAAAGCCCGGGGCUCAACCCCGGGACUGCAUUUGGAACUGGGUGGCUGGAGUGUCGGAGGGGCAGGCGGAAUUCCUAGUGUAGCGGUGAAAUGCGUAGAUAUUAGGAGGAACACCAGUGGCGAAGGCGGCCUGCUGGACGAUGACUGACGUUGAGGCUCGAAAGCGUGGGGAGCAAACAGGAUUAGAUACCCGUGUAGUC